rnacentral:other from 1 species
UGCUCCCUUCGGUGUUUGGCAGUCGGUAUAGUCCCUCGAGCCGAUAAUCACAUUUCCGGAGGUUCUCAGUUACCAUUGAUGUGCAUGUCCGCAAGACGGGAAGCCUAAUAUGGUUCGGGAACCGCCACCUUGAACCUUCGGGUUCAGGGCCGACAUCGACACCGGCACUGCGGGGAGCCU